rnacentral:rRNA from 1 species
GACGAACGCUGGCGGCGUGCUUAACACAUGCAAGUCGAACGGAAAGGCCGUGAUUGUGUGGGGUUCUGGAGUGGCAGACGGGUGCGUAACACGUGAGUAUCCUGACCUUGUCUUUGGGGUAACAUCAGGAAACUGGGGCUACUCCCAUAUAGCAGAUCAUGCUGCGGGGUGAGGGUUGGAUAGUUUAGGCGGUUGUGGAUGGACUCGCGGGUUAUCGACUUGUUGGUGGGGUAGUGGCUUGCCCAGGCAGUGGAGGGUAGCCGGCCUGUGAGGGUGACCGGCCACAUGGGUCCUGAGAGACGGACCAGACUGCUACGUUAGGCAGCAGUGGGGAAUAUUGUACAAUGGGCGGACGCCUGAGGCAGAAACCCCGCGGGUGUGAUGACGGCUUGCGGGGUGUAAACCGCUUUCGCCUGUGACGAAGCGGGAGUGACGGUAAUGGGUAAAGAAGCACCGGCUAACUACGUG